GUUAAGUCCCCGGGCUGCCUGCUGGGGCAAUGCUCGCUAGCGGCUGCUCUCAUUUGGUCUGCCCAGUCCAGGGACCCGGAUAAACAUCUUGGGCUUUCUCACGCCACCGUUAUUAGGGUGAAAAGAGUUGAAGAAAUCACAGGGACCUUCCAGCGUCAAGGAUUGCUUCGGUUGACAGCUACCACCUUCUGGGUCUUCUGUGUCGCGGUUGUUAGUGGCAGACAGGAACACUGCGUUGUCAGUUUUCUAUCAUCAGUAUAACAAACACCUGAGGAAAAUCGGCUUAUAGAAAGAAGAAAGGUUUAUUCUGACUCACGAUCUUGGAGACAUCAUAUGGUGAGUCGGUCCUUCUGCUUUCGGGUCUGUAGCAAAGCACCGUGUCACAGCAGGAGAACUCGGCACAGUGCACCUCGGAGUCACCUAAUAGCCUAAGAGUCAUCCUAAUAGAAUGAGGAGGGAGAGAAUGAUGCAGAGACCAUGGUACCGAAAUCCUGAAGACCUAAACAUCUGCCAACAACAGGCCCUACCUCUUGAAGUUCCUGCCACGUUCCAGUGCUGCCACACUGGUGAUCAGUGGGGACAUUCCAGAUGCAGAUGACAACACUAAGUACCAGAGAUUUGUUAAAACCUAUUUGUGAGGCACUUCUGAGGGAAUCAGGAAACCAACCUUGGACUAAGAAAAAAGCGGGGUAGCAUCUUCUAACGAUUACCUGCCUAGGGGCACUGCACACUACUGAAGCAUAGCUAGUCACAUUGUAGACAUCUUAGAUUUAUUUAUUACAGCUUCCAGCAGAUGGUGUCUUGUUCUAAUACAUUAGUAUGCAAAUGACGCUCUUUUUAACAGAUGGAUUUAAAGUGCCUUGAGCAGAAUUAGGUAUA